rfam:Danio rerio chromosome 23, GRCz11 reference primary assembly.
CAUCACAGCUAUAUCACUCUGCAGCUCAAGACCGGUAACUCACUGAAGCUAAGCAGGGCUGAGCCUGGUCAGCAUCUGGAUGGGAGACCAAAUGGGAAUACUAAGUUGCUGUUGGAA